GCCCAAGCUACCAAACUCAUUCUCCAGUUGACAGCCAUGCUGACAACUGUUGCUAUGAGUAUGGAGGAAACACAUUGCAGAAUUACAGACAUCCGAUCAGCAAUGAUAACUUUGACCAUGGCAGUGUCACUGGAAAGAGAAAGAUGAAUGUAUGGAAAUUCUAAUAGGGGGCAUUUGAUACCUGAAUACAGAGCACGCCUUAGAUUUGCCAUGGCCUUUUCUCCAACAACUCCAAUGAAGUAAUGCUGGAAGGUGUGACUGAAUAAUGAAAGCAACCCUACUGCAGCGAAGAUGGCUGAAUAAAAUCCAACUUUUUGUUUUGCAUCUUCAUCGAAGUAUGCUACUCCAAUAGUGAUGAUGAAGAACCCAAAAAAUGGCUUUGAGAUUCCAGAGAAAGCUGCUGCAAAUGAGCCAAUAGCAAUCUUCACCAGCUCCCUCUUUUUUAAACCAAACCAAAUUCUGAAAAAUAUAUGUCUUUCUCCGCUGCUCAUUUUGUUCUGUUCCUUUAGCACAGAAGGCUCAGUGAUAUUUAUUUGGACCUCUCCCUGCACCUCUACUAGUGGUCUAGUUUCAUCAAGAAAAUCUUCUUCACAUACACUUCUAUUCUUGGAAACUAUAGCUCUAUCCAUUUAACAUUUAAAGCUGGUUAGAGUUCUUCCUCCAUACUGUUUGGUCGAUAAUAUACAUAAAAAAUGUACAUUAAAUGGUCAAUUACCUAGAUUCAGGAACUGGUUCAAGGUUCUGCAUGCUGCAUAAUGUACUAUAGAAUCUGCUUGUGUCCAACAAACUCUGGUGUGUUCCUGUCUCGGCAACUUGUCCAUUCUCUACUACAGCAAUCAUAUUUGCAUUUACAACUGUUGAGAGCCUGUGUGCAAUCAAGAUGACAGUCCUUCCCUGCAUAGCUGUCUCAAGUGCUUCUUGAACCAGCUUUUCAGACUCUGAAUCGAGGGCACUAGUGGCCUCAUCAAGCAAAAGGAUGGGAGGAUUUUUCAGAAUGGCUCUUGCUAUUGCAAUUCUCUGUUUCUGGCCUCCUGAUAAUUGGACACCCCUUUCUCCUACCUGGAAUCAUCACAUAUGAGUGCAUAAAUAUUAUGAGUGGAAAGGAUAUAUGUAGCUAGAAGACAUGUUUUAAAAUCUGUCAACUUGUCCCCAUCUGCCAUAGGUCAGCUGAAAAUGGGGCUGAUCAGAUUAACUUGCUUUUAUUUGUUAGCUUGGAAAGACUAAUGCAACUCAUUUUAUGGUGGGCUAGCAGAUGUAGCUUCAGAAUGGAAAAGCAUUUUGGUGGUUGAUAUGCUGUUCAUUUUCUUGGUGUAAGUUGCCCCUAUUAUAAGAAUAAGCGGAACAACCACUAAACAAAGAAGCGUUACUUCCCAACAGCAUAUGGCAGCAAUCACAAUUCCAGCAAAGAAAGUUGCACAGCUAGAGGUGAAGUGACCCAACUGAGAGUAAGAAAUUCACUUGAGGUUUAGUCGUAAAAUGUUGCGAAGGAAGAAAGAGGGAGAAAGGUGAAACCUGUAACCAUUGUUAUUGAUUUGCUAACCUUCUCACCAAUGGCAUCUUGUAUGACACUCAUGUGCUUGCUUAUUCCACUGAUGACUUUUGCACUUGUUAAUUCUGUAUCAAAAGCACCUAUCUCUUGGUUGAGGACUGCUCUUAGAUAUGCUAAUCUUAGCUGAAAUAACUGUCUUUCACUUGCAUACAUCCAACAACUAAUCUCUGCGCAAGUUUAAACGUGAUCAGGGAGAUUAAUGCAGCUGGUUUGAUUACAAAUGUAGCAAUCUAUUUUAAAAUGUAUAUGAAUGAAUAAAUUAGCAGUCAUGAUAUUAUGAUUCCAUGGACCUAAGACCGGAAAGGCCAUAAUAUUAUGAUUCAUUAGUGCAUGUUUAUGAGGUUUAGAAAUGCACUAUGCAUGUGAUGCAUUCCUUUCCUCAUAUUCCCUUCUAGUGGUUGAAUUUAUUUGGAGUCUACUAGAAGAGGUAGAUUUUGCCUUCAAUUUAAUAAGUCAUACUUUUAA